rnacentral:rRNA from 1 species
AGAGUUUGAUCCUGGCUCAGGAUGAACGCUAGCGACAGGCUUAACACAUGCAAGUCGAGGGGCAGCGGGGGUAGCAAUACCCGCCGGCGACCGGCGCACGGGUGAGUAACGCGUAUGCAACUUACCUAUCAGAGGGGGAUAGCCCGGCGAAAGUCGGAUUAAUACCCCAUAAAACAGGGGUCCCGCAUGGGAAUAUUUGUUAAAGAUUCAUCGCUGAUAGAUAGGCAUGCGUUCCAUUAGGCAGUUGGCGGGGUAACGGCCCACCAAACCGACGAUGGAUAGGGGUUCUGAGAGGAAGGUCCCCCACAUUGGUACUGAGACACGGACCAAACUCCUACGGGAGGCAGCAGUGAGGAAUAUUGGUCAAUGGCCGAGAGGCUGAACCAGCCAAGUCGCGUGAAGGAAGAAGGAUCUAUGGUUUGUAAACUUCUUUUAUAGGGGAAUAAAGUGGAGGACGUGUCCUUUUUUGUAUGUACCCUAUGAAUAAGCAUCGGCUAACUCCGUGCCAGCAGCCGCGGUAAUACGGAGGAUGCGAGCGUUAUCCGGAUUUAUUGGGUUUAAAGGGUGCGUAGGUGGUGAUUUAAGUCAGCGGUGAAAGUUUGUGGCUCAACCAUAAAAUUGCCGUUGAAACUGGGUUACUUGAGUGUGUUUGAGGUAGGCGGAAUGCGUGGUGUAGCGGUGAAAUGCAUAGAUAUCACGCAGAACUCCGAUUGCGAAGGCAGCUUACUAAACCAUAACUGACACUGAAGCACGAAAGCGUGGGGAUCAAACAGGAUUAGAUACCCUGGUAGUCCACGCAGUAAACGAUGAUCACUAGCUGUUUGCGAUACACUGUAAGCGGCACAGCGAAAGCGUUAAGUGAUCCACCUGGGGAGUACGCCGGCAACGGUGAAACUCAAAGGAAUUGACGGGGGCCCGCACAAGCGGAGGAACAUGUGGUUUAAUUCGAUGAUACGCGAGGAACCUUACCCGGGCUUAAAUUGCAGAUGAAUUACGGUGAAAGCCGUAAGCCGCAAGGCAUCUGUGAAGGUGCUGCAUGGUUGUCGUCAGCUCGUGCCGUGAGGUGUCGGCUUAA